AUGCCCAGUUUGCACAACAGCACCCCGGCGAUGGCGCAGUGCUACGACACGCCGGAGGGCGUGGACAUCCGCGGCCGUUACGACCCGGAGUUCGCGGCCAUCCUGACCCGCGACGCGCUGGCCUUCGUGGCCGGCCUGCAGCGCGAGUUCCGCGGCGCCGUCAGGUACGCCAUGGAGCGCCGGCGGGAGGCCCAGCGGCGCUACGACGCCGGCGAGCUGCCACGGUUCGACCCCUCCACGAGGUUCGUCCGGGAGGGAGAAUGGGCGUGCGCGCCCGUGCCCCCGGCCAUCGCGGACCGGACCGUGGAGAUCACCGGCCCCGCCGACCCGAGGAAGAUGGUCAUCAACGCGCUCAACUCCGGCGCCAAGGUCUUCAUGGCUGACUUCGAGGACGCGCUGGCGCCGACGUGGGAGAACCUGAUGCGCGGGCAGGUGAACCUGCGGGACGCCGUGGCCGGCACCAUAAGCUUCCGCGACGCGGCGCGCGGCGGCCGGGUGUACAAGCUCGACGAGCGCACCGCGAAGCUGUUCGUCAGGCCGCGCGGCUGGCACCUGCCGGAGGCGCACGUGCUCAUCGACGGCGAGCCGGCCAUCGGCUGCCUCGUGGACUUCGGGCUCUACUUCUUCCACAGCCACGCCGCCUUCCGCGCCGGCCAGGGCGCCGGGUUCGGCCCCUUCUUCUACCUCCCCAAGAUGGAGCACUCCAGGGAGGCGAGGAUAUGGAACGGCGUGUUCGAGAGGGCGGAGAUGGUGGCCGGGAUCGAGCGUGGGAGCAUCCGGGCGACGGUGCUGGUGGAGACGCUGCCGGCGGUGUUCCAGAUGGACGAGAUCCUGCACGAGCUGCGCGACCACUCGGCGGGGCUCAACUGCGGGCGGUGGGACUACAUCUUCAGCUACGUCAAGACGUUCCGCGCCCACCCGGACCGCCUCCUCCCCGACCGCGCCCUCGUCGGCAUGGCACAGCACUUCAUGCGCUCCUACUCCCACCUCCUCAUCCGCACCUGCCACCGCCGCCGCGUCCACGCCAUGGGCGGCAUGGCGGCUCAGAUUCCGAUCAAGGACGACGCGGCGGCGAACGAGGCGGCGCUGGAGCUGGUGCGCGGGGACAAGCUGAGGGAGGUGCGGGCGGGGCACGACGGCACGUGGGCGGCGCACCCGGGGCUCAUCCCGGCGAUCCGGGAGGUCUUCGAGGGCCACCUCGGCGGGAAGCCUAACCAGAUCGACGCGGCGGCGCCCGUCGACGCCAUCACGGAGGAGGACCUGAUCCAGCCGCCGCGGGGGGCGCGCACGGUGGAGGGGCUGCGGCUCAACACCCGGGUCGGUGUGCAGUACCUCGCGGCGUGGCUGGGCGGGUCCGGCUCCGUGCCGCUGUACAACCUGAUGGAGGACGCGGCCACCGCGGAGAUCAGCCGCGUGCAGAACUGGCAGUGGCUCCACCACGGCGCGGUGCUGGACGCCGGUGGCGUGGCGGUCCGAGCCACGCCGGAGCUGCUCGCGCACGUCGUGGAGGAGGAGAUGGCGAGGGUCCAGGAGGAGGUCGGCGCCGACAGGUUCCGGCGGGGGCGCUACAAGGAGGCUGGCAGGAUAUUCAUCCGGCAGUGCGUCGCGCCGGAGCUGGACGACUUCCUCACGCUGGACGCCUACGGCCUCAUCGUUGUGCACCAUCCCAGAGGGGCGGCAUCCAAGCUCUGA
rnacentral:rRNA from 1 species